GUUUUCACCAUUAGCGAACCAUGUACUCAUACAUCAUGUACCCAGACCAAUACGAUAUGGAAGCAUCCAACAAGCAAAUCAAUAUCAUUUGAAAAGAAAAACUUGAAGUUGUGGCGGAACCUACCACCAAUUUCAUGUUUUUUUCCCCCCUUUUCACAUACUUUGCCCUUUUUCCGUUCGGGAGUUAUUGCAUUGGAACUAUAUCCAUUCAUCUCCAGAACAGGGACCACCCGUGUGCCCCAUUAAAACAUUCACACCAGCAGCUUAUAACUGAAUGCAUG